CAGUGCUUAUGCUCCAGAUGUGGCAUGAGAGAACAGCAGAGACUCUGAUUUUUCCCCAUUCCCUGGUGAGUGUGCUGAUUCUGAGUGCCAAGAAGAAAAAAAAGAAGACACUGCAUUUUUCUCAAGGGCCAAUGGAAGAACUUCCGACGAAAAAUGGAAGCCCUUAUUUUUUUGGAGACAGUCACUAUUUUUAAAUCCAGCAUGCUCCAGAAUGUCUGAAGAACCUCAGAGAGAAAUGAGAGUUUUGUGGAAACAACUGAAACAGAAAAGUUAAAACAAAAACAAAAAAGGAGAUGGGAGAAAAGACAUGGGUAACUGCGGGGGGAAGAGAAAGAGAGGAAUAACACUGGAUGCAGAAGAGAGCAGGAAGAAGGAACCAGACAGAGAAAGUCCCAGGACAUAUAAAAGUCAAUAGUCUGAGGCUACCUAGUUCCAUGUGCAGAUGUUUGUGUGUGCAUUAUUGGAUAGGAAAACCAGAGAGCCAAUAGUCCAAGAUGAUUCUGACAGCAGCUGCUGGGAUUGUCCAGAGGAAAUUGGGUCCAGAAAUUUGUUCAAGGGAAGUUCCAUCCUUUGCUUCUCUCUUCAGAUAUCCAGCCCAGCAUGCCACUACUGUGUGAUCUAAUGUCUGAUUCGAAUGGACAAGAUGUUUACAAAACUGGAGAAUAAUGGAGGAGAUUUUCAGACAUCCUCUAGACACAAUUGGGACGCUGCUCCCCAGCUGCAGUUCUAAGUGAAGAGUAUGUCACUUGAUGCUUCAAAUGCCUGCCUGGUUUGUCAGGUGAUUGAUAACAACCGGGCAAAGUUGGAAGACACAAGAUUAAAAGGGGAUAAAAAUAGUGCGAUUCAAGCUCCAUUAUUGAUGCAGUAAAGGCUUUUCUCUUUUGCCUGAAUAAUCGUUUUGGGCUAAGAAAGCUGUCAAGAUAGUGGUUGGGGAAGAAGCAAUGGAAGGAAGAAAGAGUUGGGGAAUGUUUAGAUUUGUAUGCUAAAUAGUCCAAAUUCUGCAAUAAUAAUUUUUACAUUGUGUAGUCAGGACAAAUGUAUUUUUACAGCUGUUACAAAUUUUACAGCUAUUACAAAUGUAUUGCUACAGCACAAAUGUAUUUUUACAGCUAUUAUUUCUGCUUCAGUGAUUUUUUUUAAAGAAAGAGAAUAACAGUAACAACAACAACAUCAGCCUAUGCCAGGUCCUUGGGAAGGAUUCGAUAGGUGGAUAAAAAUGCCAAAUCCAGUCUAAACAGAAACAAUCUAAACAGAUAGGAAGAGGUUAAUCUACAUACUGCUACCAAAAAAGGAUAUUUAACAGAACAUAUAAACUGUCGUAUAAUAUCCUUAAUUGCAUAUGGUAGAAAAUUAAUGCUUAGGAUCAUCCAAUUAGAGUUCUGCAUAGAAAGGGAGAUGCCAGAUGUUCAAGCUGGCUUUUAAAAAGGCUCAGGAAUAUGAGACAUUAUUGCCGAUGCACCCUGGAUAAUUGAGAAAGCCAAAGAAUACCAAAAAAAAAAAAAGUUAGUAUGUGCUUAAUUGAUUAUAGAAUUACCUUUGACUGUGUCGACCAUAUCAAGCUGUGGAAUGUACUUAGGAAAAUAGGAAUCCCAGAGCAUCUCAUUGUCCUCAUGUGAAACCUACAGACAGGUUGUGCCACAGUACAGGCAGAAUACGAGGAAACAAUCUGGCACUAGGUUGGCAAAGAAGUAAGACAAGACUGUGUACUCUUCUCUUAUUUAUUCAACCUAUAUGCAGAAUAUAUAUUGAGGGAAGCUGGAUAUGAAUAAGAUGAGCAUGAUUUUAAAAUGGAGGAAGACUUCAAGACUUCUUUGGAGAUGUUUAUAAUGCUGGGAAAGAUGGAAGGAAGGAGAGGAAGAGGACUUCCCACAGCAAGGUGGACAAUCAGUAUCAAUGGACUCAAUCAUGGUGGCAGUACACUGUUGGAAGACCUGAAGGACCAGGUUGGGGACAGAUCCUCCUGGAGAAAAUCUGUCUAUGUAGUCACUAAGAGAAGACAUCAAUUUGAUGGCAUAUAAUCAAGCAAUCAAAAUUAUACUUUUUUACUAGUUUCAAAUUUUCCUUCCUCAGGCCUUUUGGAAUAUUUGUACAUAACUCCUUUGGUUAAUUGAACUGUUUGAUGUUCAAAAUACAGUGGAUCUGCUAUAUUUCCUGUUACUAUUGCGUUGAUUUAAAAACUGUGACAUGUUAUUUCUGGAAAAAUGUGUUUGAUCUUCUUCCUCAUGCUAAAUGGAUGCUAUGGGAUAAUUCAGGUCUCAAAAUUGAUUUUAAAAAAGUUCUGUGGCUGGACAGAUUUUUGGAUCUUUACAUGAAAU